rnacentral:lncRNA from 1 species
GCCUCAUUCUACACUCCUAUAGCAGAGAUAAUGUUCAAGGAAAGCUAUUGCCUCUUUCGAUGAUCUUCUCAAAGAAUGCUUAUAUGCUGUAAAUUCUUUUCCAUCACAAUGACAUUCUAAUGAGUUGCUGAAGAUUUCUGGAAAAGGUUUUGGGAAACACAAAUAAAAGAAUGACAGACAGUUAACUCACUAUGCAUCAAUUAGCGUUUAAUAGCGAACAAUAUUCGCAUUUGAUGUAACCGCUAUACCCCUGUGGUGGGAACAGAAUACCCCUCAAUACCCUUCUGGUGGGGCCAGAAUGACUCAGGUUCUAGAAGAGUUAUGGAUGCUGAUGUAUAAUCUCUAUUGAUAGAGCCCAUAACAUAAUCAGACAGAGAGUCAAAGGCAUAUACAUCUAAUUCAAAAUAGUAUUUUCAAAUAUUUACAACUUUAGAAUCAUCUAAGCAUUUUCAAAAUAAAAUUCUUCCAAUUGUUUGCUAUGUGUAAUUUACAACAAUAUUCCAAACAUAUCACCUGAUUUAAAAAAAAUGCUUUUCGACAAAUAGAAUUUUACCUGCUUGAUCCAACAAUCUGGAUUUAUAAGAUAUGAUUUAAUGCGUACUAAUCAUCAGUUUGGGAUUAUUUACAACAUAUGCUUAAUGACAAGAAAUUCAAGAACUGAAUUCAUAUAUUUGAAAAGAUUUUCUUAUGCAAUAAAAUUUGAAAUUAUGAUAAAAAAACUUGCACAUUAUGUGGCAUAAGAUUUUUUCUAAAUAUUCAGUAAAAUAUUUUGAAAUGUAGAAUGUUACUUAUCUCACGAUAUUAAUAAUUAAUUAGAUUAACUACUUCACGGGGAUCCCUUCAGAACCUAACAACCCAAAAUCACAGUUAUAUCAAAAUGUAUAGUGCCACAUUAGUAUUUGAGGAUAAUUCCCAAAAAAUUCUGAAAACUCUCAUUCACUCUUACUAGUUUAUUUUAAACUUUUAGGAGAUUUUAAAAGCUACAAAGGAUCAAUCAUAAUCCCCCAAUUAUGGUCUAACAAAGACUACAAUCUGUAUAGAUUAACCCAACAAAAAAUUUAUUAUCAAAGUAUAAUAGUAAUUAUUUUAUUUUAUUCAUCUCCAAAGGCUACACCAAAUAAUACAAUGUUGAUUCAGGUAAGAUUCUCGAGGUUUGAAAAUUUUACAGGCAUUGUAUAUAUCAUCUACCCCUCAUCGAUGCAUCCAGUGAUAAUACAACCUAAGUUUAAGAUUUCACUAUCUAUUUUAAACUAAUGCUAUUGAAUUCAGAAAUUUAAAGAAUGAGGAUUUUAUCCCCAAUCAUAUGCCCUACAGCUUACAGACGGUUUACUGACUCAGAACAAUAGCUGGCAAAGAGGUGAGGAGUGAAACAUACAAAAGGACAAUAUGUCAAGAAGAGAGAAAGUGUGUGUGUGGAAGAGGGAGAGAGAGCAUAUGGGUGAGAGAGAGGGAAGGUUAUUGAGGGAGGGAGGAAGAGGGAGACAGGGAAAUAAGGCGGUGCGGCAGUGGUGGGAGGGGGCAAAACUAUGCGAUGUUUGGAGGGAAAUAGGGGUACAGUCCACUUUUUUACCAUGAAAGCACUCCACAAGCGGUGCCUAAUGCUGAAACCCACCCUGGACCAUGUCCUCGUCAUGAAAAAGAUAUUAAUUUUAUGAUAGAAAAAUCAGUUUUUGGUACUUUAAAUAAAGUUUAUAAAAUUUAAGAUACAAAUGGUUACAAGUCAUUAUUAUUGCCUCCCCUUGGUAGAAAUCUUGACUCCCCUAUAUUUUUCUUUUCCCCGGAGAGAAACAACUUGAUCAAGGCAAAACUACAACUAUAGAGAUAUGUGAUAUGUUAUAUUAUAUUUCAAUCGUUAUUCGUAAUUUUUAGAAACAAAUCAUGUUUUCAAUUAAAUAUUGAUGCAUUCUAGAUAAAGAUUAUAAAACUUAACUACUAGGUUGAAUCUGAGAAUGAAGCUUUUUUACUGGCAUAGAUGAGAAAUCCAUGAAGGACUCCAAGCUCACACAUAUCCUCAACACAAGCAGAUCAGGCUUUGUUCCAAAAUAGAAUUUGUCCCAUCUUGAUCACAACAUGACCAAAGCUUAAGAAGGGCCUGUAUCAUGUGAGCUUGUCUGCAUCGUGAAGAGCGAAGUGUGUUUAACAAAGGGAACCACCAAUCAAUAAUUCCGAGACUUUGCUAUGUCGAAAUCUAUUCAAAAAAAAAAAGGUGAUUUCUCAUAUUUCAAUUAUAAGAUUGAAAUUACCAUUAGGAUCCACCAUCAUCUUUGCGUCUACAUUGCAUUACGAUUGCUCUAUCAAUAGCAGUGUGACUUUUCCUUCUGGUAAGUUGACAAAUAAAAAUACUGCGCGAUCAUCAUUAUGAAGAUAGCAAUGGACAGGUGAGUACUUUCAAACUUGCAGAUUUUUUAUAGCCUCUCUUAGUCUUCGAACCUGUCACUUGGCUGUCGCUUUUCCUUGUGCCAUGCAACAAACAACAGAAGCCUUUCCUUUCCACGGUAAUGUACAGAUGGCAGCAGGAGGAUUAGGAAUGAACGUCUGGUUGUUAAUUGACUUUGAGGAGGCCGGCAACAACUGAAUGAGAAGAGCUCAAGAAGACGAGCGAAAAAAAAGAAGCAUUAAAACCCCC